CCUAAUUUUAACUUAAACAGUUGUAUCUCUUGCAUCAUAGCACGCCAUUUGCCUUCAUUAUUAUUGUAAUGUCAUUUUAAUGUCAUCGAUCCUAGAAUGAUCUCAAAUGUCCUAUAUUUUGUAUUAGGUUCAUUUUGUAAACGAACGAAACCUAGGAUAUAAUACUGAUAGGUACUCCAACAUCGUUUAAUUUCUAUUGCACCUAGCACGCCAUUUGCCUUCAUUAUUAUUGUAAUGUCAUUUUAAUGUCAUCGAUCCUAGAAUGAUCUCAAAUGUCCUAUAUUUUGUAUUAGGUACAUUUUGUAAACGAACGAAAACUAGGAUUUAAUACUGAUAGGUACUCCAACAUCGUUUAAUUUCUAUUGCACCCUAGCACGCCAUUUGCCUUCAUUAUUAGUGUAAUCUCAUUUUAAUGUCGUCGAUCCUAGAAUGAUCUCAAAUGUCCUAUAUUAUGUAUUAGGUUCAUUUUGUAAACGAACGAAACCUAGGAUUUAAUACUGAUAGGUACUCCAACAUCGUUUAAUUUCUAUUGCACCUAGCACGCCUUUUGCUUUCAUUAUUAUUGUAAUGUCAUUUUAAUUUCAUCGAUCCUAGAAUGAUCUCAAAUGUCCUAUAUUUUGCAUUAGGUACAUUUUGUAAACGAACGAAAACUAGGAUUUAAUACUGAUAUUCCAACAUCGUUUAAUUUCUAUUGCACCUAGCACGCCAUUUUCCUUCAUUAUUAUUCUAAUCUCAGGUACAUUUUGUAAAGGAACGAAAACUAUGAUUUAAUACUGAUAUCCGAAUAUCAUCUUAUUUUCUAUUGCACCUAGUACGCCAUUUGCCCUCAUUAUUGUUCUAAUCUCAGGUACAUUUUGUAAACGAACGAAACCUAGGAUUUAAUACUGAUAGGUACUCCAACAUCGUUUAAUUUCUAUUGCACCUAGCACGCCUUUUGCCUUCCUUAUUAUUGUAAUGUCAUUUUAAUUUCAUCGAUCCUAGAAUGAUCUCAAAUGUCCUAUAUUUUGUAUUAGGUACAUUUUCUAAACGAAUGAAACCUAGGAUUUAGUACUGAUAGGUACUCCAACAUCGUUUAAUUUCUAUUGCACCUAGCACGCCAUUUGCCUUCAUUAUUAUUGUAAUCUCAUUUUAAUUUCAUCGAUCCUAGAAUGAUCUCAAAUGUCCUAUAUUUUGUAUUAGGUACAUUUUGUAAACGAACGAAAACUAGGAUUUAAUACUGAUAGGUACUCCAACAUCGUUUAAUUUCUAUUGCACCUAGCACGCCUUUUGCUUUCAUUAUUAUUGUAAUGUCAUUUUAAUUUCAUCGAUCCUAGAAUGAUCUCAAAUGUCCUAUAUAUUUUUCUUUAGGUACAUUUUGUAAACGAACGAAAACUAGGAUUUAAUACUGAUAGGUACUCCAACAUCGUUUAAUUUCUAUUGCACCUAGCACGCCAUUUGCCUUCAUUAUUAUUGUAAUAUCAUUUUAAUUUCAUUGAUCCUAGAAUGAUCUCAAAUGUCCUAUAUUUUGCAUUAGGUACAUUUUGUAAACGAACGAAAACUAGGAUUUAAUACUGAUAUUCCAACAUCGUCUUAAAUUUCUAUUGCACUUAGCACCCCAUUUGUCUUCAUUAUUAUUCUAAUCUAAUUUUGACGAUCCUAUAAUUAUUUCAUCAUAAUUCAUAAAUCCGAUCUUAAAAUAUGUCUCGCAAUCUUUACUUUUUCCCAAAAAUCCUAUGUUCCUAGUCUUCUUGCAUCAUAUUUUGAAACAUUGUGAUUCAUUACGUGGUAACGUCACUUCCUAUUUGCAGUAUGACUGAAAUAAUUCUACGUCUUGCACCAUAGCACGCAAUCUUUAUAUUAUUACUGUUUUAUCUCAUAUGUAAUUGAAUCUCAACGAUCCUCCAUACUCCAUUCUCUUUAUAAAUUAUAUUAUGUUUUUCAAGUUCAAAUCGUUUAAUGCGAAUAUAAGUCAAGUGUAAUUAUUGUAAAUAUAAGUUUAUAUUAAUAUUAGAAUGCUCUAACCGACGCAUACGUUACAAUGUAUAAAAAUAAAUUUUCGCAUAUGUCACGUAAUUUGUACUUUAUCCAAAAAACCAAUCAGCCUAGUCUAUUCUUGCAUCAUAUUUCGUAAACCUUUCUAAUGAACUUGAACAGUUUUAUAUCUUGCAUCAUAGUAAGCAAUUCUGAUCUCACUGUUGAAUCUUUACGUCCUUAGUACGACUUAAAAAUAACCAACCGAAAUUGCGUCAUCAUUACCCUGAUGUUAAAAUUAAUCUUAAAAGUAUGAUUACAAUCUUCUUCUUGCAUUACAAAACGUAAAUUCAUGAUCUUAAAAUUAUCACGGUCAAAAUUGUACAUCAUUGUCCAAUUGUAUUUAUAUUUUCGUAAAAACGUUUGAUUUUGCAACCGAAAUGUUGUCUUCCGCCUAUUUUCUUCACAUCAUAUUUUAACGUAUGUGUACCAUAUAUUUUUAACUCAAUCCUUGUACCUUCUCCAUUUUCAAUUGUUUUAGCUCUUGCAUGGAUGUUCCUAAAACAAUAUCGUGUAGCCUAGAUCUUAAAUUAUCAUUAUAUCUGAACCUAGUUUGUUAUUGCUGAUAUUUGUGUAACUGCAUUUUCGUCAUAGUCAUCAUUUCUUACUUUUACCGUCUAUUCUUCCUAACGUUAGCCAAUUUUGGUCUCUAUUGCCUAUCCACUUAUUAUGUGCAAUUUAUCAUAACAAUAUAUUUCAUUUUUAACACUAACAAUAAGAUUGUGAUUUCCGUGUACGCAAUUAUGUAAACUUAAAAAAACCGUUGGUAUGUUAUAAUUGUAAUUUCGUAGUUAGUAUUCCGUAUCGUAGUUAUUAAUUUUAUUGACAAAAAUAAAUAAACAUAAACGUAAGAAAUAAAUAAAUGUAAAUUUAAAAAUAAAUUAGUAAUUUACGUACCUAUUAAUAACUCUUCCGCAAUUAUCAUCAUCGUCACAAAAGUCGUUA